rnacentral:rRNA from 1 species
AACGGCCGCGGUAUCCUAACCGUGCGAAGGUAGCGUAAUCACUUGUUCUUUAAAUGAGGACUAGUAUGAAUGGCACCACGAGGGUUAAGCUGUCUCCUUUUUCUAAUCAGUGAAACUAAUCUCCCCGUGAAGAAGCGGGGAUUAUACUAUAAGACGAGAAGACCCUAUGGAGCUUAAAACAAAUUAACACUUGCUUCUAUCCAUUUUUACUCCUGAACUAACACAUAAAAUAUAGCAUCGUUGAUUAAUAGUUUUCGAUUGGGGUGAUCAUGGAGUAAAAACCAACCUCCACGACGAAAAGGAACACUUCCCUGAGCUAAAAGCUACAACUUUAAGCACUAAAAAAUUAACGCACUUUGACCCAAAUUUUUGAGCAACGAACCAAGUUACCCUAGGGAUAACAGCGCAAUCCAUUUCAAGAGCCCCUAUCGACAAAUGGGUUUACGACCUCGAUGUUGGAUCAGGGUAUCCCAGUGGUGCAGCCGCUACUAAAGGUUCGUUUGUUCAACGAUUAAAACCCUACGUGAUCUGAGUUCAGACCGGAGAAAUCCAGGUCAGUUUCUAUCUAUAAAGGGCUUUUUCUAGUACGAAAGGACCGAAAAAGCAUGGCCAAUGAUCAAUUAAGCCAUAUAAAUUACUCAUGUUUUCAACUCAAUUAGAAACAAACCUACCAUAAACCUCAAAAAAAGAGAAGUUAACGCAGCAAAACCUGGCCCUGCAA